UACGUAGGGUGCGAGCGUUAAUCGGAAUUACUGGGCGUAAAGCGUGCGCAGGCGGUGAUGUAAGACCGAUGUGAAAUCCCCGGGCUUAACCUGGGAACUGCAUUGGUGACUGCAUCGCUCAAGUAUGGCAGAGGGGGGUAGAAUUCCACGUGUGAGCAGUGAAAUGCGUAGAGAUGUGGAGGAAUACCGAUGGCGAAGGCAGCCCCCUGGGCCAAUACUGACGCUCAUGCACGAAAGCGUGGGGAGCA
rnacentral:rRNA from 1 species